rnacentral:lncRNA from 1 species
GGAGAAGAAACAAAUCAGAAAAUUGAGUCAAAAGCUCAAAACUCUAAAAGAAAGAGUGAAGAGAAAAAACAAAUCGUGGAUCGUUUGAGCAAACAAGACAAAUUUUGAAGGUGUUACUUUCUGAUCUCCUCUUUUUCUCAAACAUACCUCAAAGAUGGCUCGGGUGUUACUUGAGCCGCAAGCAAACGCACCGGCCGACGCAAACCCUAAAGCCAGAACAGGCUUUAACGACACCUACUUCGACACUAACAUGGUCAUUAUCUUAGCUGCUCUACUCUGUGCUCUGAUAUGUGCUCUAAGCCUCAACUCUGCUUUGCGAUGUGUGCUACGCAUCACAAGCAGAUUCACACCGGAGCAAGACGCAGCCGCUUCAAACGCAAACGCAAAUCCUGGACGUUUAACGGCUACCACGGGGCUCAAGAAACGGGCGCUGAAGCAAAUCCCCGUGGGAUUGUACGGAUCAGGGAUCAUUAACAUGAAAGCUACGGAGUGUUUGAUCUGUCUCGGGGAUUUCGUGGAAGGAGAGAAAGUUAGGGUUUUGCCAAAAUGUAACCAUGGCUUUCACGUGAGGUGCAUCGACACUUGGUUGCUUUCACGUGACUCUUGUCCCACUUGCAGACAAUCUCUUAUCCUUGAGCAACCGUCGCCGAUGGGUGGUAGUUCUCGCCGGGAUGAUGACGUGGCAGUUUCUGUCGUAGGGACAUAACUUGAUGGUUAUUUCUGAACUUUGCUGUGUUCUCAGUCGGGAUUUGGUUGGUUAUGUAAUAUUGUUUCUUAUUUUACUAGGUCUAAGUUGAUGUGAUCGUUUAGACAUGUAUAUUCUUGUGCGUUGGUGAUUUUUAUUUGAUUGGUUUGGAACUUGAAUUUUUUUUUUUUUUUUGAAAGCUGGUAAAAAUUUGGAACUUGAAUUGUAACAGAGAAUGUCUUUUUGUUUUCAUUUAAUGGUUCCAUAAUUAGAAGACAUAUACUGGUAGCUCAACGUUUUGUGUGGUUAGCAACGUGACCAUCUAAAAGGAGAUUAAGAUUAAGACUAAGAAUUCGAGUAACGACCGAGGAAAUGGAUUAUAUAGCCGUCUAAAAUUCAAAACUUGUUGUUAUAUAUACACAAAAAAUCAUAACUACAAAAUGCAGAUAUUUUUUUAAUCACUUGUUAAUGCAUGCGCAACCGUAACAUUAUUAUUUUUAUUUGUAAACGGAAGAAGUAUAUUUUCAAACAAUUAGGAUUCAUAACGAAUGCAAUGUUUAUUAUUUAUCAAAAUAUUUUUGUAACAUCCCGAGUUGUGAUAUGUGAAAAGGCUUAACAGAAUUGAUUUGACUACCUAUGUCACCAAAGUUGACUUACCUUUUCCGGAGCACAUCCGUUUAGAACUCCAGAGUUAAGCGUGCUUGAGCUGGAGUAGUGGAAGGAUGGGUGACCUAUCGGGAAGUGAUUCGCGAUACCGUGUGAGUGAGGCCAAAGCACGGGAAAAAGUCGGGUAGUGAUUGCAGGGUCAGUAAACAAUGAUUUCGAGCCUUCAGAAAUUAACGGACCGACCGUCGGAUGAGAUGGGGCCUACGGGCCGAGAGAGCGGGCGUGGGUGGCCCAUUAGCCGUGGGCGGUCGGGGCGUUAUAAUUUUUUUCUGAAUUAUGUUACCUCUCUUAUUUUGGGGUGAAAAUAUCUACCGACCGAUCGAAAAUUCAAAAUAUGAUGUGAAGGAUUAAUUCAACGCAACUCUUCUCGUGUUUGCAUUUAGUAUCAACUUCCACAACUACUCUGCUUAUCUUGGGCCCGCCCUAUAGGGCCUCAAUUCCAUGAUUAAGUAGUGUUUCUUUUAGCGGCCCACAAAAAUCCAAUUGAGAGGACCAGACCAGAGAUAGUUCUAACUUCACGUUAUAAUUUUUAUUUCGGUUAUGGAAGCUCAUUUUUCAUUUUUAUUAUUGAUGUAUAAACAAUCUUAAAAUUAUAACGUAAACAAUCUUAGAGCAACAUUAUUGGUAGUCCCAACAUUGGUCCUUAGAACACCAUUAUCCUAGAGACCCAUUUAGGGUCUCUUAUUUUUUUUUAAUAUGUUUUAAUCGUAAAAGUGAAUUAAAAGACUGGAUGAAUCGACCCGAAAAUUUACUUGUUCCAUUGCAAGUCUCUUAUUUAAAGGUUCUUAAAAAAAAAAAAUUUAAUUAAACACUAAAUUUUUGAUUUUUCUUAUUAAACUUAAACUUUUUCUAAGUAAUACUAGUUUCAUUACAAGUUUCUAAGACAUGUGAAUACUAGUACUUACAAAAACAUACAAGUUUCUAAAGGAACAUAAAAGAACGUACCAAGUGGAGAAGACAAGCUCGAAGUCUCCUCACACAAGCAGCCCGCCAACACACUGCUCAGAAUAGUGCCGCAGCUUCCUUCCGUGUCAAACUUAAUCACUUGCUUGUAAUGGCUCAUGAUGUCACAGUUGGCAACGAUUUUCGCCUCUUCUUCAAGGUUAUGCAUAUUGAUACUAUUUUUUUUCUUGGAAUCUGAAAACAUUUGGGCUAAGAUGUGUUGACAGUCUUGGCCCUAUUUGUCUUUAGCAGGUGGUGAUUUGUCUGUGGCUUCUUUCUGCCAUUGGUUGCUAUAUUUCUUUCUGCACUCUUGUUUAUAUCGGUUAGUAACUUUUGAUCCCUAUAUAAAAGAAAAAAAAAGCAUUUAAAGGGCCUUUCCUGCAUGUCUUCAUAACCUUUUAACUCUUAAUGGUUACUCCAUUUGCGUUCAGGGACUAUCCUCUCUGUAACAAUACCGGCUUUGUACAGCAAAUAUCAAAGCAGAGUAGACAAGUGUUGCGGUUUGAUUCACAGGCAGUUGUCUCAUCACUACAAGCUAGUUGACGAAAAUGUUAUAAGCAGACUCUCAUGGAGCUUUUCCAAGGAUAAAGAUUCCUGAGCUUUAGUUUGGUUGAUUUUGAAAAUGCUUUUACUCGUCUUUCUUCACUAGUUAAGUUUUCUUCUUAUCUUACCAUGUGGAGUAUGUAACUAAAUGACAAUGAUGAAUAUAUGAGAUGUUAUUAAUCGUUCAAGUAAAUGAUAUGUCUCCAUUUUUUUUUGUCUAUAUGGGUUUAGACACUAUCAUUGGCUCUAGCCUGAUGGAGAAACAAUCUUGAAACUGGCUUCUGUUCCCUUUGGGAUUCUUGAGUACCCCAUUUGCCCAGUAAUGUUAGGUCAAGUGUCCAUGUUACAUUUAAUUUUCAAUGAAAAGAAUACAAUAUAGUUGGACUACUUACUAUAUGAAUAAGGUAUUCCAUGAGGAUCCUGUCUAUAAACUCUAUUUAGCUAUACCUAAUCUAAUUUUAGUUUCCAAUACUUUUUGAACGACUAGCUAUCAUUUAUCCUUGUAUGUAUAAAACUAUGAUUAAAUGGAGACCAUAGAGCUAAAUAGUCCUCCGUUUCCAUCUACUAAACAAUCAUUAGCAUAUCUCUAGAAGUUUCAACUCUGGUAUGAUAAUUAUGUCUAAUCUAAACUAGUCACCAACUAAAAUUAAAUACUAACUGAUUUUUUUCUAACAACUAAGAAAUUAGUCAUUAAUAAUGAUGUUAUGAAUCUCACAUUAAACUUGAAUAUUUUAUUUAUAUAGAUACAACAAAUACGAGUACCUUUAAUUUUCUGAAAAUAUAUGAGACUUUGUAGUAACGUCCAACCAAGCAUAAUAUAAAGGAAUAGUAAAUAAUAAAUAUACACACAAUAGAUUCGUGUAUGAGGUUGAUGAAUUCAUUUUUCACACGUUGGAGUGUUAUUGUCAACCAAUGGAACUAUUGAAGCUAAGAGAGACAAGUGUUGUGUCGUUUGCGUGAACUUGUAUUGUCUAUUUUUAUUCGUAUACUUCUUCAUUAAUUAGUUUGUUUGAAUUUGGACUUCUUAAUCUUAAAUUCUUAAUACUUGUGGACCCGUAAACGCCACAUGAGUUUCUAUGAGCCAUUCAAUUCGUAAACCAGUUACAUACACAUGUUUUUCACCAUCGCAAUAUGUUUUAUGAAUCUGAAUCUGGAUUAACCAUGUAUGAAUUUUGUAGUAUCAUCAUAUGGUAAAUCAACUAAAUGGAAAAUUAACUAAUCUUUACCGACUACACAUAUACGGUGACCAAACUCUAGGUCCUUUCAUUUUUUCUCAAGGAUAAUGCCAUAUACCUAAUUAUUGAAAACCAUUUUGAUUAGUAAUGAUGUGUCUACCCACAAGAAGACGAAAAACAUGGAAUACUUAUAUGAUAUUAUAUGUUAAUUAUAUUCGACAUAAUUAGUUGGGAAUAUGAUACCCCAACCAUGCAGAGUUGUAUAUAAUCAAUUAUUAUUUUUAUACAUCAAAUCUUAUUUGUAGUUUUUUCUUAUUUGAGGACUAAGUCCUUUUAGCUUGAUUCCAAAGUUCUUAAAACCACUACUAAUGAGUUUGUUAGUUGUCGAUUCUGAUAUCUACUAAACUAAUCGUUUUCUUAUUUGUCUUCUUCUCUACUCUAUCCUUUAUAUUUUCCUUAGUCAAAAGAAAAUGCACAUCGAUCCAACAUUGAAUUGAAUUACAUAAUAGGGUCCCAUUAAAUAAAACUACACAAACCCUCUUGUUAAACAGUUCUUCAAGAACCACGUCAAGGUACACAUACAAAGUCUAUUAAUAAUAUUCAUAUAUAUCAACAAAUUUUGAAGAUGGUAAAUUAAACAACCUAUGAUCUUUCGCUUUAGACCAUGGUGGACAGAGUGAAUACAUUUACCAAAAUUGCAUACAAAGAUGAACCAACCAUUAUGGCUUGGGAGCUCAUGAACGAACCCCAAUGCAAAGCAGAUCCAAGUGGAAAAACCCUGACGGCUUGGAUUGGUGAAAUGGCUACUUACGUGAAAUCACUUGAUUCAAAACAUCUCCUCUCUACCGGUCUUGAAGGCUUCUAUGGUGACUCUUCUCCUCAAAGAAAAGCUUCUUUGAAUCCAGUUGCAGCCAACGUUCUUGGAACCGAUUUCAUCGCUAAUCACUUUUUCGACGCCAUUGAUUUCGCAUCGAUUCACUCUUACCCUGACUUAUGGUAAUAUAUAAUAAACUCACAUAACUGACUUAUUUUGCCUUCUCUCAUCUUCAUUCACAAGUCAGGAGAAGAAACAAAUCAGAAAAUUGAGUCAAAAGCUCAAAACUCUAAAAGAAAGAGUGAAGAGAAAAAACAAAUCGUGGAUCGUUUGAGCAAACAAGACAAAUUUUGAAGGUGUUACUUUCUGAUCUCCUCUUUUUCUCAAACAUACCUCAAAGAUGGCUCGGGUGUUACUUGAGCCGCAAGCAAACGCACCGGCCGACGCAAACCCUAAAGCCAGAACAGGCUUUAACGACACCUACUUCGACACUAACAUGGUCAUUAUCUUAGCUGCUCUACUCUGUGCUCUGAUAUGUGCUCUAAGCCUCAACUCUGCUUUGCGAUGUGUGCUACGCAUCACAAGCAGAUUCACACCGGAGCAAGACGCAGCCGCUUCAAACGCAAACGC